ACUCCUACGGGAGGCAGCAGUGGGGAAUAUUGCACAAUGGGCGCAAGCCUGAUGCAGCCAUGCCGCGUGUAUGAAGAAGGCUUUCGGGUUGUAAAGUACUUUCAGCAGUGAGGAAGGUAGUGUAGUUAAUAGCUGCAUUAUUUGACGUUAGCUGCAGAAGAAGCACCGGCUAACUCCGUGCCAGCAGCCGCGGUAAUACGGAGGGUGCGAGCGUUAAUCGGAAUUACUGGGCGUAAAGCGCAUGCAGGUGGUUUGUUAAGUCAGAUGUGAAAGCCCGGGGCUCAACCUCGGAAUAGCAUUUGAAACUGGCAGACUAGAGUACUGUAGAGGGGGGUAGAAUUUCAGGUGUAGCGGUGAAAUGCGUAGAGAUCUGAAGGAAUACCGGUGGCGAAGGCGGCCCCCUGGACAGAUACUGACACUCAGAUGCGAAAGCGUGGGGAGCAAACAGGAUUAGAUACCCUGGUAGCACAGAG
rnacentral:rRNA from 1 species